UUAUCGGAAUGAGAACAAUUCAAAUCCUUUAACGAGGAUCUAGCGGAGGGCAAGUCUGGUGCCAGCAGCCGCGGUAAUUCCAGCUCCGCAGGUGUAUAUCUAUGCUGCUGCGGUUAAAAAGCUCGUAGUUGGAUCUGCGUGCUCGGAACUGGUUGGCUCACUGAGUUCAAACUGGUCUCCGGCGCUUUAUUGGCUGGUUUUCCCUUGAUGCUCUUAACCGGGUGUCUUGGGUGGCUAGCACGUUUACUUUGAAAUAAUUAGAGUGCUCAAUACAGGCGUAAAGCCUUGAAUAGUGGUGCAUGGAAUAAUAGAAUAGGACCUCGGCUCUAUUUUGUUGGUUUUCGGAACGCGAGGUAAUGAUUAAGAGGGACAGACGGGGGCAUUCGUAUUGCGACGUUAGAGGUGAAAUUCUUGGAUCGUCGCAAGACGGACGACUGCGAAAGCAUUUGCCAAGAAUGUUUUCAUUAAUCAAGAACGAAAGUUAGAGGUUCGAAGGCGAUCAGAUACCGCCCUAGUUCUAACCGUAAACGAUGCCAACUAGCGAUUCGCAGGCGUUAAACAACGACCUUGCGGGCAGCUUCCCGGAAACGAAAGUGUUCGGGUUCCGGGGGAAGUAUGGUUGCAAAGCUGAAACUUAAAGGAAUUGACGGAAGGGCACCACCAGGAGUGGAGCCUGCGGCUUAAUUUGACCAACACGGGAAAACUCACCCGGCCCGGACACCGUAAGGAUUGACAGAUUGAGAGCUCUUUCUUGAUUCGGUGGGUGGUGGUGCAUGGCCGUUCUUAGUUGGUGGAGCGAUUUGUCUGGUUUAUUCCGAUAACGAACGAGACUCUGGCCUACUAAAUAGUGGGCGGAUUCUUUCUGUCCGCAACACUUCUUAGAGGGACAAGCGGUGUUCAGCCGCACGAGAUUGAGCAAUAACAGGUCUGUGAUGCCCUUAGAUGUCCGGGGCUGCACGCGCGCUACACUGAAGGAAUCAGCGUGCUUUCUGGCCUUGCCCGAAAGGGCUGGGUAACCCGAUGAAAAUCCUUCGUGAUUGGGAUAGGGACUUGCAAUUAUUUCCCUUGAACGAGGAAUUCCCAGUAAGUGUGGGUCAUAAGCUCGCGUUGAUUACGUCCCUGCCCUUUGUACACACCGCCCGUCGCUGCCCGGAACUGAGCCGUUUCGAGAAGAACAGGGACCGUCGUUGAAGGGCCUUAACGGGCUUUUCUCUGAUAGAAACUGUU
rnacentral:rRNA from 1 species